UCACCGGGCCGGCCGGCGGGCCCUCCUCUAUCUCCGGGCCGGCCGGCGGGCUCUUUGUCAGUCCCCGGGCCGGCCGGGGGGCCCUCCGUCAGACCCCGGGACGACGGGACACCGACUCCCUCUGGCCUUGGGCAGGCUCACGGCCACCUGUUCAUCUUCACGGGCUCACCCGCAGCCCUGAAAGUUGGUUGUGUUUCGUGGAAGCGCGGAGCUUUACAACCACGUGCUGCAAAGCUUUCCACGAACUUUCAGCUUUCCUGUCUCAAUAUUGCCAGGCGUGAAAAUCAAAGCAAUCCCUCACUUCUAAAUCUUUUCACAGUAAUGAAGAUGUACAGUAUAAAAUGUCCCUGCCUGCCGUGGGAUGCCGCCACCCUUGCUUGUGCCAGGCAGCCACGUCCCGGUGCCCUCCUUUGAGGGUUUGCCAACAUCGAUACCCGACUCAACCUUUGAACCGACUAGGUGACUUCCAGCAAAACUUACUAGAUUCAGCAAGAAAGAAACUCCCAUCUGCAUACCAGCUUCAGAAAUGGCAAACCUGGAAUUUCAGACUUCAGCAGAAACUCUUGGUCUACCAGAGACAGAUCCUUCAGGAAAGACAGAGCACUGAGAACCUCAGACUUUCAAGUUGUAUCUCCUGACAAUUACCAUCCUGCAUAAAGAGACUGCAAUCACAAGCUGUAUCUGCUACGUUCUUCCAAAACUUUUACCAGUGAUCUAAAGAAUAGUUUUCUUAUAACAAAUGAUGCAGUGCAACAGAACCUACACUCAAGCAGUAAGAGCAGCUCAUGUAACUCUGUGCUGAUGGUGACUUCUGAGUACUCUGGAUGCAAGCUGGAGCCAGAUGUUGGAGCCAUUUGAGAAUCCAAUCCAAAAGCUGCCAGCAGUGGAGGAACUGCAUGAGGAUCCCUCAGCAGUAAGGUGUCGUCUCCUGUGCAGGAUCAAAGUCCAGCCACCAGACACUUCUGGAAACAUUCCAGGACUCCCGAGCCCCCCAAGGGUGGUCUCGGUGACUCGGCACCUCAGUCCUGAGGUGCUGAGAUCCCACACUCACACUUCAGCCUGCUGCUCAAGAUGAAGGGGGUUGGACCUUUAAAGGCCUCCUUCAAACCAAACUAUUCUAUGGUUUGUGAUUCUAUGCUUUUGUGAUUCUAAGACUAAGACUAAUCUGUCACAGCCUAACCUAGACUGCAAAUGUCUAGUAAAUAUAAAGAAUACAGACAUCACAAUAAUUUUAAAGGAAAAUUGCACAUGCUGGAAAGGAACUAAAUAAUGAAACAGAUGAAGUACAUCAAAUUUGUUUAGGGAACAAAAUAAACAUUUCCUUGUGGCAAAGGAGGAAAAAAAUCUAGGAGAAAUGUUACUUGCAUUGUCCCCAAAUUAUCCUUCAAAAUUUUGUUAAGAUAUUCUUUCACAUUUCAGGUAUCACUUAUAACUGCAAAUUACAAUAAUUUAUUAUGACAU